rnacentral:rRNA from 1 species
GUAGGAGGCAAGCGUUAUCCGGAUUCACUGGGCGUAAAGCGCGUGCAGGUGGUUCGGUAAGUUGGGCGUGAAAUCUCCCGGCUCAACUGGGAGAGGUCGUCCAAUACUACCGAACUUGAGAGCAGAAGAGGAAGAUGGAAUUCCCGGUGUAGUGGUGAAAUGCGUAGAUAUCGGGAGGAACACCAGUGGCGAAGGCGAUCUUCUGGUCUGUUUCUGACACUCAGACGCGACAGCUAGGGUAGUAAACGGGAUUAGAGACCCCGGUAAUCCUAGCCGUAAACGAUGUGAACUUGGCGUUGGUGGGUUAAACUCCAUCAGUGCCGCAGCAAACGCGAUAAGUUCACCGCCUGGGGACUACGGCCGCAAGGUUAAA